AAAGGCUACUCGCUCUUAUGUUUUUGACCCUGUCUUUCCGUGGCAAUAAGUUCUGAGUGUGUCUUUUGCUAGGCAGGGCUUACUGGAAGGAUAACCAGGGCUAGUGUGAGGCCUCAGUGGGAGGAAGCAACAAAUGCUGCUUGACUGCUUCUGGGUCAAGUCUCAGGGCUCUUUGAAUUCUAUGCUCUUCAGUCUGGGUGGAUAAGGUGCACGUAUUUAGAAUGGAAGCUGUGGUAGCAACUACACAUUGGCUGAUUUGAAUCCUGUGUCAUGUCUUGUGGAAAUCACAUUAAGGCAGUGAGGAUUUGGAUUUGGGAUGAUACUGACUGAGCCACAGGAGCCCAAACAUCUGCCAGAGCCAGCAACAGGAAAACUCAACAGCUGAAAUUUGUUGUUAUUCUUCCCAUCUUCCACUGUUUCUCUAACCAGAGAGUACUGUGGCCAGUGUAUAUCCACAAAUAAGGAUUGAGAAUAGAUGAGAAACCUGGAAAGCUUCAUUACAUUUCCAGGACACCAGAGUAAGAAUCGCCAUGCCAGGGCCUCUUCUAAGUAAUUGGGAUAUGUCAUUGAACAGCGACAUCUGUUAUGUCAACUUCCUUGGGUAAUGACUUUGAUAUCUUAUUUGAAGAUAGAAAUACUGGAUUCUACUAAGGAAAUUGGUAUUAACUAGAAGAUGGCUAAAUUACUGGUCUUAGAGCCUACUACCUAUGGACAUCAAAUUGAUGUUGUGCCAUUUCUCUCCUGGAGGCAAUUUUUGAGAUCAUAAAAGUGUGCAAGGGACAUGAAGAUGGGGCCUAGAUGAUUUGGAACUGACAGAAUUUUCAGCUCAUGGAUACUGAGAAAGAACAGAAGCUGUUGGUAUCAAUGGCUGUUUGUUUUUGUGACACUUUGAGUAAUAAA